UACCCAUCAGAGGGGGAUAACACUUGGAAACAGGUGCUAAUACCGCAUAACAGUUUAUGCCGCAUGGCAUAAGAGUGAAAGGCGCUUUCGGGUGUCGCUGAUGGAUGGACCCGCGGUGCAUUAGCUAGUUGGUGAGGUAACGGCUCACCAAGGCCACGAUGCAUAGCCGACCUGAGAGGGUGAUCGGCCACACUGGGACUGAGACACGGCCCAGACUCCUACGGGAGGCAGCAUG
rnacentral:rRNA from 1 species